AGGAGAGAGAGAGAGAGAGAGAGGUGUAGAGGUGGAGGGAGUCUGGUAUAUAACACUUACACCACAUCAUCAAUAACUAGCCAAUCGCAUCUCUAUAUUUGAAGAAAAAAGUAUAAUAAUAAUUUUUUUUAAUGAUCAUGAUGGAACAGGUGAUCUAAGAGGAACAAUCUGAUUGGCUGGGGACGCCACAUCAGUAAUAUAAUCGGUAUAUUCUAGACUUUUUUAGUAGAGGUGAUAGGGAUGGGGAAGUAAGAGCUAGGUUAGGUGUUUUUAAGGAAUUAU
rnacentral:lncRNA from 1 species